rnacentral:rRNA from 1 species
AAUGAACGCUGGCGGCAUGCCUAACACAUGCAAGUCGAACGAGACCUUCGGGUCUAGUGGCGCACGGGUGCGUAACGCGUGGGAAUCUGCCCCUUGGUUCGGAAUAACUCAGAGAAAUUUGAGCUAAUACCGGAUAAUGACGUAAGUCCAAAGAUUUAUCGCCUAGGGAUGAGCCCGCGUAGGAUUAGCUAGUUGGUGGGGUAAAAGCCUACCAAGGCGACGAUCCUUAGCGGUCUGAGA